rnacentral:tRNA from 1 species
GGGGAUUUAGCUCAGUGGGUAGAGCGCUUGCCUAGCAGCGCAAGGCCCUGGGUUCAGUCCCCA